rnacentral:pre_miRNA from 1 species
AAUACCUCAGCCUUAUCAGGUGCUAUAUAUAUAUUCACCUGGAAGUUCUGAGGUUGAGU